GACGAACGUUGGCGGCGUGCUUAAUACAUGCAAGUCAACUGAAGCAGUGGUAGCAAUAUCGCUGUGGAGGUGGCGCACGGGUGAGUAACACGUAGGUAAUCUGCCUUCAGGUCUGGCAUAACUCCGGGAAACCGGGGCUAAUAGCAGAUGAUGCAGCGGCUCGACAUCGAGACAGUUGUUAAAGCUAUGGCGCCUGAAGAUGAGCCUGCGUCUGAUUAGCUAGUUGGCGGGGUAACGGCCCACCAAGGCAACGAUCAGUAGCUGGUCUGAGAGGAUGAUCAGCCACACUGGAACGGAGACACGGUCCAGACUCCUACGGGAGGCAGCAGUAAGGAAUAUUGCUCAAUGGGAGAAAUCCUGAAGCAGCAACGCCGCGUGAGGGACGAAGGGCUUUUGCUUGUAAACCUCUGUAGUGAGAGAAAAAAAUCCCAAUCUUUGGGACAUGAGGGUAUCUCAAAAGUAAGCCCCGGCUAACUACGUG
rnacentral:rRNA from 1 species